AUUGAACGCUGGCGGCAGGCCUAACACAUGCAAGUCGAGCGGAUGAAUGGAGCUUGCUCCUGGAUUCAGCGGCGGACGGGUGAGUAAUGCCUAGGAAUCUGCCUGGUAUUUGGGGAUAACGUCCGGAAACGGGCGCUAAUACCGCAUACGUCCUGAUGUAGAAAGUGGGGGAUCUUUGGACCUCACGCUAUCAGAUGAGCCUAGGUCGGAUUAGCUAGUUGGUUGGGUAAAGGCCUACCAAGGCGACGAUCCGUAACUGGUCUGAGAGGAUGAUCAGUCACACUGGAACUGAGACACGGUCCAGACUCCUACGGGAGGCAGCAGUGGGGAAUAUUGGACAAUGGGCGAAAGCCUGAUCCAGCCAUGCCGCGUGUGUGAAGAAGGUCUUCGGAUUGUAAAGCACUUUAAGUUGGGAGGAAGGGCAGUAAGUUAAUACCUUGCUGUCUUGACGUUACCAACAGAAUAAGCACCGGCUAACUUCGUG
rnacentral:rRNA from 1 species